UACGGAGGUUCCAAGCGUUGUUCGGAAUUACUGGGCGUAAAGGGAGCGCAGGCGGGUCGGUAAGUCUAAAGUGGAAUCCCGGGGCUCAACCUCGGACGUGCUUUGGAUACUGCCGAUCUUGAGUUCGCGAGAGGAAAGCGGAAUUCAGGGUGUAGCGGUGAAAUGCUUAGAUAUCCUGAGGAACACCAAUGGCGAAAGCAGCUUUCUGGCGCGUUACUGACGCUGAGGCUCGAAAGCGUGGGGAGCGAAC
rnacentral:rRNA from 1 species